rnacentral:rRNA from 12 species
UUGCAGUUAAAAAGCUCGUAGUUGAACCUUGGGCCUGGCUGGCCGGUCCGCCUCACCGCGUGUACUGGUCCGGCCGGGCCUUUCCUUCUGGGGAACCUCAUGCCCUUCACUGGGCGUGUUGGGGAACCAGGACUUUUACUUUGAAAAAAUUAGAGUGUUCAAAGCAGGCCUUUGCUCGAAUACAUUAGCAUGGAAUAAUAGAAUAGGACGUGUGGUUCUAUUUUGUUGGUUUCUAGGACCGCCGUAAUGAUUAAUAGGGAUAGUCGGGGGCAUCAGUAUUCAAUCGUCAGAGGUGAAAUUCUUGGAUUGAUUGAAGACUAACUACUGCGAAAGCAUUUGCCAAGGAUGUUUUCAUUAAUCAGUGAACGAAAGUUAGGGGAUCGAAGACGAUCAGAUACC